rnacentral:lncRNA from 1 species
ACAUGUUCGAAUCGUUUCCUCUCAAGUUUACAUCUGAGAGCCCGUCAGGGACGCUGCAGCUGAGCCUUUGCAUGAGUCGCACGAGAAUGUAGAACAUGUCCAUGUGGGCUAGCUUCUCUCCGGGGCAGAUGCGGGCGCCCAUGCCGAAGGAGAUCAGUGGACCGGCGUCCGUGCGCACUUUUCCCGUCACAGGAUCAAGGAACCGCUCGGGCCGGAACUCUUCGGGCUUUUCCCAGUUCCUGGGGUCAUGAUGCACUCCGUAGAUGUUGUACAUAA